rnacentral:lncRNA from 1 species
AGAAUAAUCUGCAGCUAGGGGAAGGCCAGGCUGGGUCUCAGGGUGAGAGUUACAGAAGGAUAUGAAAUAAUCGGGGAAGAGGCAAGCGGGUAUCCUGAUGCAGACCAUCCCCAGCCAGAAACACAGCCGCAGAACUGAGCCCAAGCUCCAGACCAAAAACUGAGCCCAAGCUCAGGGUCUGCAUGGCCCAGAGCUGGCAUCUGUCCGGGGGACUGGCCCAGGCAAAGUGACCACUGUCAUCCAGUCCAGGAGCUGUGAGCUGCAUGGAAAGAAUGUGAAUGAAGACACAACUCUAAAUGUGGAACCAUGGACGCUAUGUGAGCCAGUGUGCUCCCUAGCCGUCCAGAAAAACAAGGCCCACUUGUACAUUCUGCAAGAGCAUAAAUAAAGCUGUCCUCAGGCGGC